GGCCCUUUAGCUCAGUUGGUUAGAGCAACCGGCUCAUAACCGGUCGGUCCUGGGUUCGAGUCCCCGAAGGUCCA
rnacentral:tRNA from 1 species